UCUCGGCUUAUCACCGGCAGUCCCCUUAGAGUGCCCAACUGAAUGAUGGCAACUAAGGGCGAGGGUUGCGCUCGUUGCGGGACUUAACCCAACAUCUCACGACACGAGCUGACGACAGCCAUGCAGCACCUGUCACCGAUCCAGCCGAACUGAAGAGAUCCGUCUCCGGAUCCCGCGACCGGGAUGUCAAGGGCUGGUAAGGUUCUGCGCGUUGCUUCGAAUUAAUCCACAUCAUCCACCGCUUGUGCGGGUCCCCGUCAAUUCCUUUGAGUUUUAACCUUGCGGCCGUACUCCCCAGGCGGGCAACUUCACGCGUUAGCUACGGUACCGAGGAAUCGCUUCCCCAACACCUAGUGCUCAUCGUUUACGGCGUGGACUAC
rnacentral:misc_RNA from 1 species